rnacentral:rRNA from 1 species
UACAGCGGGUGCAAGCGUUAAUCGGAAUUACUGGGCGUAACGCGCGCGUAGGUGGUUUGUUAAGUUGGAUGUGAAAUCCCCGGGCUCAACCUGGGAACUGCAUCCAAAACUGGCAAGCUAGAGUAGGGCAGAGGGUGGUGGAAUUUCCUGUGUAGCGGUGAAAUGCGUAGAUAUAGGAAGGAACACCAGUGGCGAAGGCGACCACCUGGGCUCAUACUGACACUUAGGUGCGAAAGCGUGGGGAGCAAACAGG